UGAGUGCGAGCGGCUACGGCCGCGAAGUGGGUGAUGUCAAGCUUCCAAGAAAAGCCCUAUACCCGUUAAGGCAUGAUGGCCUGUACCCGAAACCGACACAGGUGGGGUGGUAGAGAAUACCGAGGGGCGCGAGGUAACUCUCUCUAAGGAACUCGGCAAAAUGGCCCCGUAACUUCGGGAGAAGGGGUGCCACCGCAAGGUGGUCGCAGUGAAGAGGCCCAGGCGACUGUUUACCAAAAACACAGGUCUCCGCUAAGUCGCAAGACGAUGUAUGGGGGCUGACGCCUGCCCAGUGCCGGAAGGUUAAGGAAGCUGGUCAGCGCAAGCGAAGCUGGCGACUGAAGCCCCGGUGAACGGCGGCCGUAACAAUAACGGUCCUAAGGUAGCGAAAUUCCUUGUCGGGUAAGUUCCGACCCGCACGAAAGGCGUAACGAUCUGGGCGCUGUCUCGGAGAGAGGCUCGGCGAAAUAGAAUUGUCUGUGAAGAUGCGGACUACGUGCACCCGGACAGAAAGACCCUAUGAAGCUUUACUGUAGCUUGGUAUUGUGCCCGGGCUCUGAAUGCGCAGGAUAGGUGGGAGGCUUUGAUCCAUGGCUUGCGGGUCAUGGUGAGCCAACGGUGAGAUACCACUCUUUCAGAGCUAGGGUUCUAACGGUCACCCGUCAUCCGGGGACCGGACAGUAUCAGGUGGGCAGUUUGACUGGGGCGGUCGCCUCCUAAAAGGUAACGGAGGCGCGCAAAGGUUUGCUCAGGCUGGUUGGAAAUCAGCCGACGAGUGCAAAAGCAGAAGCAAGCUUGACUGUGAGACCUACAAGUCGAACAGGGACGAAAGUCGGCUUUAGUGAUCCGACGGUUCUGAGUGGAAGGGCCGUCGCUCAACGGAUAAAAGUUACUCUAGGAUAACAGGCUGAUCUCCCCCAAGAGUUCACAUCGACGGGGAGGUUUGGCACCUCGAUGUCGGCUCAUCGCAACCUGGGGCUGAAGUCGGUCCCAAGGGUUGGGCUGUUCGCCCAUUAAAGCGGUACGCGAGCUGGGUUCAGAACGUCGUGAGACAGUUCGGUCCAUAUCCGGUGCACGCGCAGGAACAUUGAGAGGAUUUCUCCCUAGUACGAGAGGACCGGGAGGAACGCACCUCUGGUGUGCCAGUUAUCGUGCCAACGGUAAACGCUGGGUAGCCAUGUGCGGAGUGGAUAACCGCUGAAAGCAUCUAAGUGGGAAGCCCACCUCAAGAUGAGUGUUCCCAUGGCAUAAGCCAGUAAGGUCACGGGAAGAACACCCGUUGAUAGGCUCUACGUGGAAGCCGGGUAACCGGUGAAGCGGAGGAGUACUAAUAGACCGAGGGCUUGACCG
rnacentral:rRNA from 1 species